GUGUUCUUGUACCGCUCAAAAAGAAAAAAAAAACAGUGUUCUUGUUCCUCAUCCCUACUCGUUGCUGCUUCUAUUUUCCCCUUUCCCAACAAAAGUUCAGAACCGAACCAGAACUCCGGUUGUUGACCGCGCCGCCCGAGCUUGCUGCUGUAUCACCAUCGUCGUCGCCGCCGCCGCCGCCGCCGGGUCCCCUUGUCCUGCUCACCGCUGCUCACGCCCCUCAGCUGGUCAGAAACAAUUCAAAUGGAAACCAAUGGGUUAUCUCUCAAGACUCAGGAAAUCGGGUCAAAAAGGAAGUGGGAGACUACCACAGACCUCAGCCGCCGCUUUUGCAGUAAUCAACAUGAAAAUCCAUGGAAUGAUGGUUCGCUCACUACCUCGCUAGGGAGCCAUAAAGAUUUCCGCUUUUGCAACCAACGUGAAAGUCCAUGGGAAGGCGGUAGAACAGAGCAUCAGGACAAAAUGAAUGGGAUAAUCACUUGUUUGGUUUGUGGCAAGGAAGGACAUUACAGUUGUGACUACCCUUUCAAGGAUCAGGAGCACAAAGUCAUUUGCACACUCUGUAGCAAAAAUGGCCACUGGAGCAUAUCGUGUUGCCAGCAGAACAAGUCGGAGAAUCGCGCUUGCACCCGCUGUGGAGAGAUAGGGCAUAGUACUAGUACACAUGGUCUCCUCAGUUGCUCAAGCUGUGACGAAUAUCAUCCGCAUGGAGAGUGUCGAUUGAGCAAAGUUAAAUGCUUUAUUUGUGAAAGUCAGGAUCAUUAUCCUGCUCAGUGCCCCUUGAAUUGGGUAUUGAAUGCAGCGUUUCAGGAUCAAAGAGAGAACUUCCAAGCUGCUCUGUGGCUUGCACUAUCAAAACAAGUCAACACAUUAUCUAAACGGACCUGCCAUCAAGUCAGUCCAAUAGCCAGGGCAUACAACUUAAGGCCAAGGAUAUGCUUUACAUGCCGUGAAGAAGGUCAUGUUGCCUUUUACUGUCCUCAGAAAAGAAGAUCAAUAUUGCCCGACCUAUCCAAAGAAUUUGAAGAGAGCAGCACCAUAGCUAAAUCCUCCAACCUGUCCAAAGAAUUAGAAGAACGGGACCCUGGUACUGCUAGUGCUAAACAAUCAUCAAAAAUGAAACCGGCAUCGGUUCUUCGAUGUGUUAGCUGUGGUCAGGGAGGGCACAGGGCCAGGAGCUGUCCAACACGAGUGUUUAUAUGCUCCUUAUGCAAUGAAGAAGGCCACCGGGCCAGGAGCUGUCCAACACGAGUGUUUAUAUGCUCCUUAUGCAAUGAAGAAGGCCACAAAGCCAAGAAAUGCCCUCAGAAGCUCCAGAAGCGUUAAUACCAAAAGCUAUCGGUUAAGCAAACAGUGAUACACACUAUACAUGUCGUUACAUUUUUCUUACGGGUGAUCUAACCUAGCCGUUGCUUAACCAAGAAGUGGAUACACAGGUAAAAGAUGACCUUAGCACAAUGGGUAUAUGUUGUCAAAAUCAAUGUGGACGCCUCCUUCGAUGAAGAUCGUUUUACUGGCACUACUAGGGUAGUGAUCCGAGAUAACAAAGGAAGGUUCAUGGCAGCAAAAAAUUUCAAAGUAGACUCGGUGCUUGAUGGUUUGUCGACGGAAGCAUUAUAGCAAUUACAAGAAGGAUUGCUGUUUUGCUGAACCCCUGGGCUGCACCAGGAUCACCGUCAGAUAGCAUGAAUGUCAUUACGACGAUGCAAGAUGAGGUCCAUUCAGCAGGGGUUGCAGCGGCAAUCUUCAGAGAUUGUUACUUCGUCUCAAGAGAAUUUGCCAAGGUGGAAUUUGUCCAUGAAAACAGAGAACCAAAUACUGUAGCUCACAAAUUGUCGUUCUUGCCAGAAAUUCAUGAUUCUCGUACAUGUUUCAGCAAUUGGUAAGGACAAGACUCACAUGAACAUCGUGGUCACUGGCCAUGUCAACCAUCACUGGGCAUCUGAUCUACAAGCUUGGAGGUAUUGACAAGCGUGUGAUCGAGAGGUCCAAGAAGGAAGCUGCUGAGAUGAACAACAGGUCAUUCAAGUAUGCAUGGGUGUUUGACAAGCUAAAGGCUGUCCUCGAAGGAGCGAAGCUCUUCCGUGUUGUUUGUAUCCACCAGAGAUCUGUUUUUACCAACACUCUCUGAGCAAAGAAAAUUUUCUUCUGGUCAUGUAACCUCCAGAUUAUUCUGUAGCUGAUUCCUUGAGGUUAUGUAACCUUGUACAUAAUCGGCUUCCUGCACGUACCAAGGCAGUGGUGUCUGUCUAUGUCAUGGUUAGGUGCCUCCCAAAAGUCGCAAGAGCAAGCCAGGAGAAGAAGAUAGAGAACCGAGAUGCCAUUUGAUUAAUCAAUGUCCUUGGCAACGUGUUGCCUCCUGGUGGCGCUCACGAACAGAGACGCAAAAUCCGCAUCACAGAUGGCCGGUACGUACUUUGCCCGUCUUAUUCUUAUUUGUCACCCACCACAAGAUGAGUAAAUUUUAUUGAACUAGUAAAACUCAAUCUGAGAAAGCACAAUUUGCGUUGACGUUUCCUUCCGUUUUCUAUCUGUCUCUUGGUCUUGUUCCAAGCAGCUAGCCCUUCAGUACACGUGCUGCAGCUUAAUUAUUCUUCUCCUUGUCUACAACGGCCCACCCUAGGAUCCUGUAGUGGUUCCAGCGCUGCUGCACGUAGACCAAGAGCGCGAGCACCACCGCCAUGACCGGCACCACCACGCCACCAACCUUGGAGUACAAGUCCAUGGCGCCGUCUUGGGCCUCCUCAGGGGCAGGGUACAUGCCAACCGCGGGAGGCGGGCGGAGGAACCCAUAGACGUGUGGCAGCAGCGUCAUGCCCGUGAUUCCGGCGUAGUAGCUCUUCCUCAGAGGCCGGCAGUUGACGCGCCACACGGCGUUGCCCAUGACCUGCGGCAGCAGGAACCAUUCCCUUACCAGGCCGAUGCACCGCUCCACCAUGGCGGCCAUAUUAUACGAGGGCCGGCUAUAGGAUUCCCCCUGGCCCUGUGCUUGUAGGGUGUACACCACAUGCGGUGGCGGCUUGGUCGACGCACCGCCGUACGUGGCCAGGAGCCAGUGCACGGCGAGGACGAACAGGAGACCGACAAGGUGCAGCCUGGCCAUGUCGCUCGGGACGCGUCCUGGCUCGAGCGGCGCCCGCGCCCGAGCGCGGACCCUCGACCGCCGCACCUUGUGCGCCAGGCGCAGCGUGAGGAGGAGGGCGAGAGCUUUCACGAAGUAGUCCAUGUCCCAGUGCAAAGCCCCGGACCUGCAUCCUGUAGUUGUCGUCGCCGUCGAACGUCCUUGGCCACGCGAGUAGGAUACUGGCGUCGGUGACCAGCGCCGUGCCGUAGCCGAGCGCCUGGACGCCGAGCAUCCCGAGGGAGAUGUACGGCACGGUGUCUGGGUGGGACUCCAUGUAGCGCAGCUGCCUGAAGGCGGCGGCGAUGGUGGCCGAUGGCAUGGCGAGGCAGACGACCCCCUUCUGCUCCAUGAAUCGGUUUGACAUCUCCCGGGCAUAAUAGGAGGGGUGCUCUAGGAGCUCAGUCCUGUUGAAGUACAGCGGGUCGCCGGUGGCCCUUGUGCUGGACAGGUGGACCUUCGCUGACGGGCUGAAGAGCCACCGCAUCCUCGUCGGCGGGUACUGCACCUCCAACUCGAUGGAGCUGUCCAUCCCGCUUCGAAGGCCUCUCAUCUUUGACAUGAUCUUCCAUGGGGCCUCGACGCCUUGGCAGCCGACCAGGUGCAUCCGCCCAUCCUCCGGGUUGUACACGCCCUCCAGCGACAUCACCGAACGCGGCCCAAAGAAACUGUCGGACACCGUGAACGCAGCUGACACGUUUAGAAGUUCCUGCCGCUCCACGCCAUGGUCGCCCAUACCAUCUUGAUCUUGUGCUACCGACAUGCUUGGCUGGGGCACGUAGCCUGUGAGCGGACCAAUCGAGAAUAUUUGCAACUCAAAGAAGCGCUCAGAGGAUUGUCCUCCCUUCAUGAUCCAUUCUGGCCCGGCCCGGAAAUGGAGGUGCAGAUCUUCACAGAGGCUCGCCAUGUCACCAUGGCCGGCGCGUUUCCUCCGAUAGCUUAUCGGAGACAUACUAAGAAGUCUAGGCCUGUAAGGGUUCCAUUUUUCUGUUUUUUCUGGAAUUUUUUUACCGUGUUUCUUUGAUUGACGCGUGUAUGGGGGAGUUCCUGUGCAAUGUUCUUUUUACCGGUCAAGCUUUCUGCACCUCCACCGCUUUGACUAGGUUUGAUCGCACGUGUAAUUUUUAGGUCGGUUGCCGCUUUGACGUAGGCCUUCUGGGGUAUUCAUCUUGUCUGUUGAAUGCCACGCGUGUACUCUAGAGAAACCGAGGAGUUUUCUCGACGUCUCGCUUCGCCUAUUUAAGAGCCAGGGCGCAAUCCCUCGACGCAAAUUCCACGCCGGCGAAACAGCAGCCAAUUGCCGCUGGGAGACUACCGCGGCGCGAUGCCAAAUUUGCCGGAUCUGGCUCGAAGGCCACGAUCACCGCGCGAAACGGUGCUACCUCGAGGUCGCUGGAAUUUCGUUGGAACGGCUUCAGCGGGCCGAAACAGAGGUCCAUCUGGGACCAAAAUUUGCCACGGCAGAGCAGGACCUCCAGGAAACCUAGCAUCGCUCCGUUCAGUCCCUCGCAUCUGAGGAGUUUCCGGCAGGCCGGCGGCUGCUUCACCGCAGGCUGGAGGCAGUGAUGGGCGAGGCGACAAGACGGUGAAUAGGGAUCCAGGCGGCAAGCCAGAGAGAGGCAAUGAUGGGCAAGGCGGCGACAAGCAUGAAGCUGUGAUGGGUGAGGCGCCGACGGCGACAAGCCAGAGGUGACGGGCGAGGCGGCAAGGCGACGAGUCCGCGACGUCUUCUCCAACUCCCAGCAAGUAUAGGCAAGCGUUCUCUGUCCAUUUGUGGAUGCAGUACCAUUAGCAAGUACAUCCCCAUGUCAAUCUUGAGUUCUUCACUUGUUCACUUCUUGUGCUUUACCCUUUUUCAGUUCGAGUAAAUCUGUUUUC